rnacentral:rRNA from 1 species
GACGAACGCUGGCGGCGUGCUUAACACAUGCAAGUCGAACGGAAAGGCCCUGCUUUUGUGGGGUGCUCGAGUGGCGAACGGGUGAGUAACACGUGAGUAACCUGCCCUUGACUUUGGGAUAACUUCAGGAAACUGGGGCUAAUACCGGAUAGGAGCUCCUGCUGCAUGGUGGGGGUUGGAAAGUUUCGGCGGUCGGGGAUGGACUCGCGGCUUAUCAGCUUGCUGGUGGGGUAGUGGCUUACCAAGGCUUUGACGGGUAGCCGGCCUGAGAGGGUGACCGGCCACAUUGGGACUGAGAUACGGCCCAGACUCCUACGGGAGGCAGCAGUGGGGAAUAUUGCACAAUGGGCGGAAGCCUGAUGCAGCAACGCCGCGUGCGGGAUGACGGCCUUCGGGUUGUAAACCGCUUUCGCCUGUGACGAAGCGUGAGUGACGGUAAUGGGUAAAGAAGCACCGGCUAACUACGUG